CGUAGCAUCUUAAAAGGGAACCAAAAUAUAGUCUGUGCAUCAUAAUAAUUGUUUUUUGAUGUGUAAUGUGUUUAUCAUGUCAACACUGAUUACAAAAUGGCUCAGCGAUAUGAAUUACACAUGUGAGCCAUGAUUUAGCUGGUUUGGCUGCAUUUCCCUUCCGGAUAAUUUACCAGAAUGUCUGAACUGUUGCAUACGCAAGGGUCAGUUUUGCCAUAAAUAUACGCACAUUUCCUUCAUCAAGUUUUCUUUUAUAAAUCCCAACAUUUGCAGUGAAUUUUCAUAUUUACAUUUUAAGCUUCUUUUUGCACAUUUGCAAGCCCCUGAACAGAGAAGUAAACUAAAUUAAAUGCUUUCCUGAACAAAUGUUUUAAGUUUUUUUCUUAAAAGAAAGAUUUGAGUCAGUUGGUCUAAUUUAUAUUCAAAACUAAGCGGGGAUGUCCAGUUCUUACACGGGUUGGAAAAAAGUGAAAUUAUAUCCAUUUAUUAUUUGGCAGUUAAUUUAUUAUUCGAAUAUUGUUCAAAAUUCAGACUGCCAUUAUUAACAAUUAGCGGACUGUAGUUGCUACAAAUCAUUUAGAGUGACUUAUGAUAAAUGUCAUUUUUCAUUUCGUCAUUAGUAGUAAAAACAUAUUCGCAAUCCUACUCUGGAACAGGUGAUGUGUAGCUGGCUGUGUUAAAAGCACGGUUCUUUGAAGUAAACUCCAGUUACUUUAAGUGAUUGUUCUUACACUUUAUUUAUGGACAUUUCAAAUGCAAGAUAUAUUGGAAAUGGAAGUCGUUUGAAUCUGAAAGGGAGGUCUUUGGAAAUCAUAAGUAUAUGUGGAAUGAAAACGUUCUCUCCUUUUCUGAUACCAGUUAGAAUUGUAGCUUUGAUUAGGUGUGGAUGAUGUGACAGUGUCGACACAUUUCUCACAAUUAGAAUUUACUGUUUUAGGGUUUUCCUUAAUUCUUUUUAAUCAUGUUCACACAUUUCAUUUUUUUAUUAAUCGCUGAAACUGUAGCUUUUGGAUAUUUUCUCUUCCUCUCACUUGGUAAUUGUGUUGUGACGAACAUUAGGAAAGACAGACUUUCUUGCUUAUUUAUUAGAUGUCUUUAUUUUGCAAAAUAAAAGUAUAAAACUGAACAAGAAAUAAACAUAUAUUACACAUACCAUUGAAAAGACACAGCAUGUUUGAAAAAGUGGACUGUAUACAGUUAAAAAAAAAAUGAAACAAGACUAAUAAUAAAAAAUGUCCAAAGAGGUUUUCUUCACUAUUCCUUUGGAUCCCAAUUGAACAGGAACAACAAGCAAGCAUAAUUAGAUUUUAAUAUUGCCUUUCAAAACAUCUUUAUGAAGAAAAAUUUAUAUAAAGACAAACCAAAAAAAUGUAGAUCUACGUUGACUGAUUACUGACUCUGCGGAGGCUAUCAACCAAAGCCCUACAAUACAUUUAGCCUACUAAAGAAAGCUUUCACACUUGUCACAUGAUUGAUUUUCUGAAUUAUGUUUCUACAGAAAUUGAUGUUGGUGGAAAAUCUUUUAAUAUUCUAAUGAAGAAACAUCAUUAUUUGCAUGAAACAAAAUGUCUCCUGUUCCAUUGCUUUUAUAUAUUUGAAGGUAUACAUCAUUUCAACAUCAAAUGAUGUAAAAAAGAUGCUUUUUGUUGCCUUUGUAUAACUUUAUUUAUACUUAGUUUUCUCCUACUUUUUUUUUUAAAAAACUCUGCUGCUCCAUUUUCCGUGAUUCCCUAAGCAUGUACUUAUAGUGCUUAAUUAGCCAGGGCUACUUUAUUAUCAUUAUUUACAGCAUUUGAAGUGCAAUAAAUAACCAUACUGUUUUAUCUGCUUUUUCAAAGAUCAUGGAGGCGAGGGAAUGGCCCUCUUUAAGGUCCAAAGAUGUGAUUAAAUGAAAAAUUAUUUUGUAAGCAUGUGGGGGUAAGGUUAUUGGGUGGAGCGAGGGCAGUUCUCUUCAGAAUCCAAAGAUGCAGUUGUAAAUAGUUUCAGAUACAAGAGGGGAAGGGCAAGGGUUAUGCAUUGUGAGAAGUGCUGGAUAUAUCAGAAGUUAAUGGAGUGCCCACUACCCACCAUGGACCAUCUCUAUUACAACAAGUAAGAAAGGCAGCUUCCUGAUUUAUUUAACCACAAUUUAAAUGAUAUACAAAAAGUUUUACUGGAUGACAAAGUUCUCGUUUCUACUGGUAUACUGCCUACCACUAUCUUCCAGAUUGCAUAGACAUCUUUCUUUUCCAUCAUUUGUCCAAUGUACAAAAUUAGGUCCAUAAAGACAUGGUUUGAUGAAUUUAGGGUUUAGAAACUCUAGUACUCUGCACAGAGCCCAGGGAGUUCUGUAUUAAAUGCCCGUGGUUUUGGAAAGAGACAUCCUAAAAGCUCAUAUGGGUGUGAUGGUCAGGUGUCCACAAACAUUUGGCCAUAUAUCGUAAUUUUUGGACCCGAGUCUGCAAAUAACAAAUUAAUGUAAAAAUAUUCAUAAAACUAUUUUGUGACAGAUAACUUAAAUAAUUAAGAAACAUUUGGCACAUAUCAUUCAGAUUUAAUUAAACAAAUUAAUUUGACCCAAGUGUGAAGAAUUUUUUUGUAGAUUGUGGUUAUUGCUGAAGAAAAAAUUUUAGUCAGAUAGUGAAGAUAUAGAAAGGUUUAAGAUUUUCUUUCAGUGUAAGCCCUUCAAAUGCUUAAGCAUUGCGUUUCAUUCAUGUCAUCCAUCUAUGUCUUUGCUGAACCUGUUUUUUUAUUACAGGUCAUGGGAAUCCAGAGUCUAUCCUAGCAACAUUGAGUCCAGGAUGAAAAUAAAACUGAAAGGAAUGUUUUACAGAGCACAGUAAUCUACAUAAUAUGUCGAGUAAUACUGGGCUUAUUCAGAAAUGCAUGUUAACCUUACAUGCCCUGCCUUGGAGCAUGGGAUGAGACUGGAGUACCUGAUAGAAACUCAACACAAAAAAUUUGAAAACUCCAAAGAGACAGCAAUCAGACUGGAAAUGGUUUACUUUAGCACUCUCAUUUAUAUAACUGCAUGCUGAUUUUGCUUAGAAUCUUUUAAUCAUAAUGAUUUGGAUCCUACUGUAGCAGAAUCAGGUACAAGGUACACCAGGCUAAUUUACAGUCACCAUUCAACCUAAGACUCAUGUCUUUGGAAAGGACACAGGAACUGCACUUUGACAUUGGACCAGGCCAGGAAUUAAAUUGAAUGCAUUAACAUCCUACAAUUGCAGAUUCAGAGGUUCCCUGGCUCGAUGUGCAAGAGGUUUCAUGCAGUGGUGGCAAAACGAAGUUGUCACACAAAAUACUGACAACUGCAGGACUACGGAUGUUAAUGUUAAUGGUUGUUAUUAUUUUUCUGUUUUUUUGCUAUUGUGCUGUUUUCUUUAUCCUAUUAUUCUCAUUUCAGCAAUGAAGGUUGAACUUUCACUCCAAA